UUUGUUCUCAAAUUCAAAUUUAUUACCACAGAGAUAGAUACAAAGUCACCAUUAUAGGCUCACUGUGUGUUUUACAUGAUCUAAAAGUGUGUUUGCAUUUCUUGGGCCAAAAACAGGUUUAUAUUUGAGUAAACACAAGAUUUUUACAUCAUAAAAAUGAUUUUUGUAAUGUGUCACGAAGAUUUCCAGGUGGAAUGUGUUUCAUGGAGAAGUCUUCUAGUCAGAGUCACUGCUGCAGGAGCUGCUGGAGGACUGCAGGAGGGAUAAACACAAGAUAUUUUAAAUACUCUGAAAGUAUCUAGCACACUGAUUUAAUCUCAGUUUUAUAUCCUCCAUUCUGAGUUACUGUAAAAGUGAUGGCAUCAGAUCAUCAAGGUUGUUGGCUCAGUGUGACCAACUGUGACAAAUUCAGACAAGACUGAGCAAGUUAUAAAAACAUCAGUGUUGAAAGUCGAUACUUGGUGAGUUACACUUGGAUAAAAUGCUUCACUGAAAAUCGGUUUUCAGGAAGGAUUGCGCAAACUUGCUAGUGUCAUCAUACCUCACCUCUGUUUGAACUGCUAUUCAGUAGUGCAGUGCUGCACUCCUGAAUUCUACCCUGUUCGUAGCCUUUCCCUUCCCAAAUGUUCACAGCUGGGACACUGGCUUUAAUAACCUUUACUCUAAAGCACUAGUCAUGAAAACCAAAACAAUAAGUCUUAGGUUGUGUGGAGCUCCGGGAAGCCGCAGAUUUGUGUCAAAAUCUGUGUGUGAUCAUGAAUUUGAGCAAACCUAUUAAGUUACUCAUAGGUUUGACACUGGUAUUAUAAAUGAAGACACAUGCAGCUACAGGGACUCUGCCCGAGGUCUCUUCCCCUUAGAACAAAACUUACUCUCAUCAAGUGCUGCUCAUAGGUGAUCUUUGGACUGUCUUUUGGUUCUCCCUCUAAUAUUGUUGAGUAUUUUUUAUUACAGAAACUAAAGAAAAUAUAAAGCAGAUCUAAUAGCAUAGCAAAAUGUACAUUGUUGCAUAAAUAAUCAUAUCUUACCCCAUGACACUUUUUUCCUUUCUUGUGGCAAUGACCAUGCUUGUGGCCAUGUUUAUGCUUGUGGUGGUGACCAUGAUGUCCAUGGCCAUGCCCGUGACCAUGAUGUCCAUGGCCAUGCCCGUGACCAUGAUGUCCAUGGUCAUGACCGUGGUGUCCAUGACCGUGGUGUCCAUGACCGUGGCCAUGACCAUGCCCAUCACCAUGUCCAUGAGUAGAUCCGCAGCCGGGUCCUACCACGUGGCCAUGACCUCCAGAUUCUCCACAAGGUGAGGUCACUGGACAGCAUCCAAAUGGACCAGGCUGAGGUGGACAUGAAGGUGGUGGGGCAGGGCCUGGUGGACAUCCUCCUGGCACUGGAUGAGGUUGACAUCCUCC
ensembl:lncRNA